rnacentral:rRNA from 1 species
GACGAACGCUGGCGGCAUGCCUAAUACAUGCAAGUCGAGCGAACAGAUGAAGUGCUUGCACUUCUGACGUUAGCGGCGAACGGGUGAGUAACACGUAAGGAAUCUACCUAUAAGCGGGGGAUAACAUUCGGAAACGGGUGCUAAUACCGCAUAAUAUCUUCUUCCGCAUGGAAGAAGAUUGAAAGACGGCUCUGCUGUCACUUAUAGAUGACCUUGCGGUGCAUUAGUUAGUUGGUGGGGUAACGGCCUACCAAGACGAUGAUGCAUAGCCGACCUGAGAGGGUGAUCGGCCACAUUGGGACUGAGACACGGCCCAGACUCCUACGGGAGGCAGCAGUGGGGAAUCUUGGACAAUGGGGGCAACCCUGAUCCAGCGAUGCCGCGUGAGUGAAGAAGGCCUUCGGGUCGUAAAGCUCUUUAGGCUGGGAAGAAGGUUAGUAGUUUAAGAGAUAACUAGCUUGACUGUACCAGCAGAAUAAGCACCGGCAAACUCUGUGCCAGCAGCCGCCGUAA